GGAGUUGGCCAGACAGUCGCCGCCGUUCCGACCUCGAUGGUCGGCCACGGGGGAGGAAAGUCCGGGCUCCACAGGGCAGGGUGCCAGGUAACGCCUGGGCGGCGCGAGCCGACGGAAAGUGCAGCAGAGAGCAGACCGCCUACGUCUCCUGCGGGAGGCCGGCAAGGGUGAAAGGGUGCGGUAAGAGCGCACCGCGCGCCUGGCAACAGUGCGUGGCACGGCAAACCCCACCCGGAGCAAGACCAAAUAGGAACCCCAAGGCGUGGCCCGCGUCGGGUUCGGGUAGGUCGCUAGAGCACUGCGGUGACGCAGUGAUUAGAGGAAUGGCUGUCCACGACAGAACCCGGCUUAUCGGCCGACUCCCUCC
rnacentral:RNase_P_RNA from 1 species